rnacentral:miRNA from 1 species
GACUAGAGUUCCACUCAUCCAG